AGGUACUAGGCGUGCCAUGUGCAGGCUCUUGCAGCCCAGCUGUUGCCCUGGCAGCUCCAUGACCACACCUCUGUGCCCAGACAUGGAUCAGAACUGGGAGAAAAAGAGAAGGUGGUACCUUCUAUCCCCUUCACCCUGGGUCUUUCAGGAUCUGCCCCAAGGAGCAGAAAACGGGUGCGCCCAGAGCAGCUUACUCAGGAGACGCUUGCUGUAUGUAUGGCCUGGGACAACUGUAAGAGCCCUGAGGGCACAGAGUAUGGGCAACAGGUGAUAGCAAAUCAAGGAGCAUAUUUAGCAAUGCCUGUGCUACCUAGCAAUGAGAAAUCUAUGAAAAUAGCGACACCACAGGAAUAGGGACUGCAGAGUGGGAAGAAAUGAGGGGUGACCAUGUUGAAGAAACUGUGUUUCGGCAGAGGAGAGAGCAGAGCAAUGGGGUGAGGUGGGAAUGCUUUUGGGUGGGCUUCAGAAGCAGUGAGGUCAGUGUGGCUGUCGUGAGGUGUGGAGAGUUGGGGAAGAGGAAAGGGGGUACCUGAGUUACCUGGGGCCACGUCACGUAGGGCCUGGUGGGCUGUGGUAGGGACUUGGGAUGUUUCUCUAAGUGCAGAAGAUUUUGAGCUGGGGAGAUGUGAUUGGAUUUAUGUUGUAGGGGCAAUAGAGACUAGGGAAUUGAACAGGAAGCAGGGAGGCCAGGAGGUGGCAGCUGUAGAGGUCUGGAGGCUUGGAUGUAACCAGGAGGGUUGGACAGAGCUACAGGUCAGACUGGGUCCACAUUUCAAAGGGGAUCUUAAAGGCUGUGAGAGGGACUAUUACAUGCCACCAAUAUUGAUUGUGCUCCUACCAUCAGGAUACAGAGAUGAGACAGUGAUUCCUGUCCUCAAGGAGGUUACAUUCGCAUGGGGAGAGACACAUAGCAAAAGAGACCACCAAGGCAAGUCCGCCGAGAGAUGAUGAGAGCCCAGAGGGCAUAUCACUAAGAGAAGGCCAGGAAUGAUCUCACGGAGCAAAUGGCAAUUGGCUUGAGUUUUGAGGAAGUAGAAGUUUGGUCAACAGGUAGGAAGCUGAGUAGGAAGGGAAUUUCUGGCAAAGGCACAGUUGCUGGUUCAGUGGCAUCGUUCCCUCUGGGGAAUCUGGGAAGACUGUGCCUGACUGUGGUUCCUGAUGGGAUUGCUGGUAACUGGCUCCAGAAAGAUUAUUUGGUGGAUAAAAAAAAAAUGCAGGAUAUAUUUGGAAAACUACAAGUUAGCCUCUAAGCUGGCAAUGUGAUGAGGGCAUGGCAGGGUGCCUCUAGGUUCUCUACAGUAAUGGGGCUCUGAAGAGAAAUUGAGGGGACUGUGAAGCUGUGUUUGCACAGUUCUCUGCAUAAGAUUUGGAAACAGCUGACAAUGCGCAUUAAAGAAUGAGGGUGCUGCUAAUGGAGGUCAUGAGAGUCACCACUCCCUAAACUUGCUCCUUGGCCCCCUCUUUGAGCUUGGAGGUAAAUCUGUGGAGGCUAAGGUUGGGUGGGGCAGUGUAUGUCCUGUUAAUGAGUUAGGACCACAACAAACAGGGAGCUCUUGAUGGGGUUCCUGAAGGUGAGUGAGAAGCUCAGGUGAGUCCUCUAGGGAGUUCACUCUGGAGUGUUGAGGGAGACAGAGUAGACAGGACAAGACAGCAGCUGAGGAAGAGGAUGGCUAGAAGGCUGUUGCAAAAUUCCACUAUGAUCUUCCCUUUGUAAAACCUUCUUUGGAACACACCCCAGAAUACACUGGAAAAUUCAGAAAGGUGGACAAUGGAGAAAGGACAGGAAGCAAGUCCCAGAAUCCACAGCAGCUCCCCAGCACCCCGGGCAAGCACUACCUCCCUGCCAAGGUUCAAGUGGGGCUCUCUUGGCAGCCUCCAUAGGAACUGGCCCGGGGCGAGUUCCCGGGGUAAAAGGUGCAACCUGGGUGUGGGCCGGUUUCCUUGUGAAGGCUGUGGCUUCCCCUCAGGCUCACCCUUGCUGAUGCUGAGUAAUCUGCAGGCUGCAAUCUGCCCGUGAAAGAACUCUUGCAACACAUUGUGUGAGGAUCCCAGGUAAACAGCCAAUGUGUGUGCCCAGAGCUGCACUUACGUCUGUCUUCUAGGGAAGCCUCCCUCCCCGCUGGCCUUCAGGCUGUGCCUCCACCCUGCCUCUGUCUUGUUCUCUUAGGCUGCCCUGUCCUUCCCUGGGAAUCAGGUCAAGAGCCCUGCUGGCAGGUGUCCUAGAGCAUGAAUCAGGCCCCUGGCAAGGAGAAGGCGGGAGAUCUUGGCUGAGAUCAGGUAGGAAGGUUUAUUGGAUGAUGUGUCUGGUCAAUAGCCAAUCUAUUAACCCCCCCUGAGAGAAUUAGGAACCUUCAUAUGAUGGGUCAUCUCUUUGUGGGAGAAGUUUAGAUAACUGGAAACCACAUUUUGGUCAAGAAUGACUCAGUUAAUUUUUCCAUGCCUUUAGUGAGGAUUUAAUUUUGCACGGGUAAGUGACUUCAGAGUGGUUGGUGAAAGCUGGCUGGCUGUCAUUUUGUCUGGCAGUGCAGAGUGGCAAUUUAUCCCUUUAGGUGGCCCAAGAUUUGGGUGGCUGGACUUUCCAAGGCAAUUUAAUUUAAUUUAUUUGUUUAUGCUGAGCCUUGGGUUAAUGCUUUCAAAUGGUUUAUUUCAGAGAUCUGAUAACCUGCGGACUGACUUUCUCCUUCUAGACUUGUGUUGAUUUGAUUCAACAGACCCUCAUGACUCAUGAAGCACCUAUAUGUACCAGUCAUUGUGAUAAAUCUGGGGAUUAGACAGGGGCAAAACUCAGUCCUUGUUGAGUUAGCUCAUGGUGCAAUACUGGACUCAGACAUAAACAAACACACAGAAAUGAUAGGUUUGUGUGGCAUGCUGAAGGCCCAGGUAAGAAGGAAUUCAUUCUGUUGGAUAAGGCGGGGACUCAAGGAGGCUUCCUGGAGGAAGCGAAAUCCUAGAUGAGUCUGAAAGGGUAAAUAGGAAUGAAUGCUCUCCAACUCUGAUGGAGUUGAUGAUCUCAGGGUUGGCCUCUUUUCAUACUGGUUUUGAGUAUAAAUGAUUAAUUUGUUUGUAAUAAUUAAUAAAAAGAAGAAGAAUGCAUUCACAAGCAUCACAAGUGAAUCCAUCCCUGACUUCUUAGUAAUUUCCCCUUUUACACCCUGCUAAUAUGAUCCCUGUUUUUUGCCCUUUAUGAAGUGGUCCACAGUGUGAAAAAUUUG
rnacentral:lncRNA from 1 species